UACGUAGGUGGCAAGCGUUGUCCGGAUUUAUUGGGCGUAAAGCGAGCGCAGGCGGUUUCUUAAGUCCGAUGUGAAAGCCCCCGGCUUAACCGGGAGGGUCAAUUGGAAACUGAGGAACUUGAGUGCAGAAGAGGAGAGUGGAAUUCCAUGUGUAGCGGUGAAAUGCGUAGAUAUAUGGAGGAACACCAGUGGCGAAGGCGGCUUCCUGGUCUGUAACUGACACUGAGGCGCGAAAGCGUGGGGAGCAAACAGGAUUAGAUACCCUGGUAGU
rnacentral:rRNA from 1 species